UCAUAAUUUGUUUAAUGUCUAAUCCGAUCAAUCCAUGAUAUAUUAACUAUAGUGUAGUUCCACAACUUUUUUAAAAAUUGAUCCGGUCAAUCAGGAAAAAAUUAUAUAAUAACAACAAAAAAACAUUGUAUAUGUAUAAAUAAAAUGAUUAAAUAUAUUAAAAAAAUUAUCGAUAAUGUAUACAAAUAAAUUCACAUUGCCCAAGGCACAAGUUCUAUCCUAGUUUAAAAUAAUUUUAAACUCUUUAUAGUAAAAAGUUACUCAAAUUUUUGUAUUUUUACUAAAAAAAAAAAAAAUCAUAUACAUAUUCAAUACUGGCCCAAACAUUUUAGAGACUCAACAUUUUAAUGCAUGAAGCAUUUUAAAAAAUGUCGCGUCUCUAGUUUCAUAACAAAAUAAUUUAAAAAAUGUUGGCUAGGAAUGUCCGUUCCUUUCAUAAAUCUUUUUUUUUUAUUGGUUGUUCUAUUCCGGUCAGUUUACCUAAAUCAUCUCAAGUUUGAGAUAUAUAGAAUAGCCGUUUGUUGCAAAAAAAAAAAAGCAAAUAAUUUAAUUAUAUUCUUUAAAAAAACAAUAAUUCAAUAUAAAUUCUCCAAAAAAAAAAAAAAAAUUUGCAAUAAGUAAUAGAGAUGGGCUGGGAAUAUAUAUACGUUGGGCCAUUGUAAGAGUGUGGAAUCAACAAUUGGUAAAAAUCCCCAAUUACAACUUUUCCCGCUACAUCUGCGAAAAUCGUCCUGAAAUGUCAUCGUCGCGGCGAAAUUAGGGUUUAGAUAUAUAGUCCUUCAUUCCGAUCGAAUUGGAGGAAAUGGGUAUUCAAGGGCUUCUGCCAUUGCUGAAAUCGAUUAUGGCUCCGGUACAUAUCCACGACCUCGAGGGUUGUACCGUCGCCGUUGAUACCUAUUCCUGGCUUCACAAAGGCGCCCUCUCUUGCAGCCGAGACCUCUGCAAGGGUUUGCCCACCGCCAGGCAUAUUCAAUACUGUAUGCAUAGAGUGAAUUUACUCCGCCACCAUGGGGUGAAGCCUCUUCUUGUCUUCGAUGGAGGUCCGCUUCCUAUGAAACUUGAACAAGAGAAUAAGCGUGCUAGGUCCAGAAAGGAAAAUCUUGCACGUGCAUUGGAGCAUGAAGCAAAUGGAAAUUCCUCGGCUGCGUAUGAGUGUUAUCAAAAGGCUGUUGACAUUUCACCUUCUAUUGCACAUGAGUUGAUACAGGUUCUGAGGCAGGAGAAUGUCGAUUACAUUGUUGCUCCUUACGAAGCUGAUGCCCAGAUGACGUUUUUGGCUAUUACUAAGCAAGUUGAUGCCAUCAUCACUGAGGAUUCUGAUCUUAUUCCUUUUGGCUGCCCAAGAAUCAUCUUUAAAAUGGACAAGUUUGGCCAUGGUGUUGAGUUUCAAGCCUCCAACCUGCCCAGAAAUAAAGAGCUCAGCCUUUCUGGAUUUUCAAGCCAGAUGCUUCUCGAGAUGUGCAUAUUGAGUGGCUGCGAUUAUUUGCAGUCACUUCCAGGAAUGGGACUCAAAAGAGCUCAUACACUCAUUACAAAGUUCAAAAGCUAUGAUAGGGUAAUCAAGCACUUAAAGUACAGCACAGUUUCAGUUCCUCCUCUAUAUGAAGAGUCAUUCAAGAAAGCUAUGCUGACUUUCAAGCAUCAACGGGUCUAUGACCCCAAAUCUGAAGACGUUGUACACUUGUCUUGCAUUUCUGAAGACAUUGGCGAAGAUUCAGACUUUGUAGGCCCAUCGAUGCCACAACAUAUUGCUAAGGGUAUAGCACUGGGGCAGCUUGAUCCAUUCACGCAGUUGCCUUUCCAGGCUGAGGGUGUCACUCCUAAGUUGGCUGUUGAUGCUAUUUCCCGCCCCAGAAGUUUCAAACCUGAAAAUCUGAAGAAAAAGCUUGAGUUGCCAGUCCAGAAAAACCUGCUCACCAAAUAUUUCUGCUUUGCAUCUCUUGAGGCAAAAAGAAAGUUCAAGGCUCCGAGGAUAUCACCAAUGUCUCUGACGCCAACAGGGGAGUCUCCAAGCACUCCUGAGGACAAUUCAACAGAUGUGGAUGCUCCUUCGAGUCAGACAACAAAUGAAUCCCCGGUUUACAGCUUGGGGGAGAAUACUGGCAAAGUUGCAGAGAAAAGAGAAUCACCCGACUAUGAUGCGGUGGAAAGGAAUUACAAGGACCUUGAUCAUAAGUACAUUUACCAGCACGUGGAGAGGCAGAAGAAGACGAAGACGGAUAUUGUAGUAAGAAGCAAAUAUUUCAAGCAGAAGCAGGAUGACAAAAGUCUUAAAGAAUCUCUCCCAUGUUUCAAUGAUUGCUCUGUGAUCGGCCAGAGAAAGACUGUUAAUACUGUGCUAAACAAGUCAAGCGCAUCUACGAUAGAAGAGACUGACAGAGCUAUAUCAACAAGUUCAUGUGAGCGUAUCUACAACGAUCAUGAAGUUGCCAAAGAAGCGAGUAUCUUUGCCAUGAACGAGGUGGCUGAGAGAACAACAAACAGACACGAGAUAGACCAUGAGAUCGAUAAAGAAGAACAGAACCCAUCCGUUGAGAUCCUUUCCGCCUUUAGUACUCCCGAGGAUGCUAUACCUCUCAACUCCAUUGGUACUUAUAGUUUUUGUGGAGCUGCAACAGGGAAAAGGAAGCUUGAGCCAGAAGAAAACCUUCAUAAGGAAAAUCUGAACUCCAAGCACAUGCGCAUAGACGAAACAGAUCCUGGUAAUGCAGAAACAUCAUUUGAAACCAACAACGAUGUUGAGAAGUUUGGAUCCAACAUUUCGCAUAUAGGGCAGUACUCGGAAAUAGCAGAGAAAUCAGUGGAAAGAUUUGUCUCAGCUAUAUCAUCUUUUAGAUACUCUGGUCCUGGCUCUCGUGCUAGUGGUCUGCGUGCACCUCUCAAAGACAUCCGCAACACUUGUCCGUCCAAAGGGUUAUCUUCUAAACUGGACUUCAGCAAGUUUGGCUAUGCAUCAAGCAGCGCAACAAAAUCAAGGCGAUUGUGAGUUCAGUUUUGUAAGUUAACCAAAUGUGAACGAUUUUAGCAGAAGCAAAGGCUUUUGCUGUGGAAAUUUCUUGGUUGCAUUACAUUGUUGUUGUUUUGGUCUUUGUAUUGUAUGAGUAUAUCUUAGCUUUCCAUUGUGCGGACCAUUCUUGUUCAUAGAUUCUUUUGCCCAACAACUUGAUCCUUAAGUUGGGGGGAAAACCGGAAAAGUUCUCAUUGCCAUUUCUUGGAAAUUACUUCUAUUUAUUGA